CCGUCGGCGGCCCGUCACCGUCGCCUCGUUUUAUUAUUCGCCUCAAUUCAAUUACGCCGAAACCCGGCGAGCAUUCGUCGUCGUCGUCGUCCAGUUAUGGCGGAGGAGAACCGAUGUCCCCCUCCGAUAUCGGCGAAGCAGAGGAGACGGACGGACGGACGUAGGCCUCGCUACAGCCUAGGCGGUGGCGGGGUCUUGGUGGUGGUGGCGUCGUCUAUCGCGGCCGCAGCCGCCGCAGCCGCCGCCCGCACGCGCUACUUCUUGAAGGAGUCCUUCGAGGUGUAGCCGCUGAGGCGGCCGCUGCCGCGGAGCAGCGGGCGCGGAGGGGAGGGCAGGAGGUUUUUCCCGCCGCCGCCGCCGCCGCCUCGGCCCCCGGUGGUGCGCAGGAGACCUUAGAGCUCGACCGAGUCGAGGCACCGGCCCGCGGGCGUGGGCGGCGGCGGCGGGAACGGCCGCCGACGCCGCCACCGCCUCUGCCUCCGCCUCCUCGACCGCGACCGCAGCAGCUAACCCCUCUCCGUCCGCCGCCUCCUCCUCUGCCGCUCCUCCCUACUCGCCUUCCUCCUGUCCUUCUCCCUCUAACUCUUCGUCCUCUUCGCCCUCCUACUCGACCUCCUCAUGGUGUACGUCGACCGCGACCUCUACUCGCGCGCCCUCCUGGGGCUCCGCUACGUCUAGCUCCACCGGUUCGUCUAGUCGGAGCCGAGGACGGGCGAGGUCUCGAGGCGACGGCUCCAGCAGCGGAAGGCGAUGACCUCAAAGUCACGGGAAUCGAUACUGCUGUUUCAUAACCUACCAAAGAUACUGUAAACCCGGUGACCCCCGUUCGGGCGUGACGCUUGGUAUGGGAGAGACUACCUCGACGUAGUCGUUGGGAAAAGAGAACCUCGAUUUUGUCUUCGACACAACCAAUUGUCUCGUGUUCUGAGGCUUGAACAUCUGGAACCCGUCUUCCGUGAGUAGUACCGGCAACUGAAGGCGAGAGUUUGAAGUGUAAGACAACCGGCACAAAAUUAAGUCUCCGAUCGACAAAAUCACCGUUUGGUGUACCCACCCGGUCAACAACUAGGUCUUUUGCACGACAACUUCAUGGUCUUAUACUCAUCAAGAGACUCUCGAUCAUAAUCUUCGAGGCAGUACGGAGAACCGGCGGAGUGUUAACCGGACCGAGCAGUGGCACGCGACGAAAAAUUCCACAACCGGCUGUUGGAACUACAAGGAACAGCUGAUCAGUUUCCUUCCGUCAUAUGACCUAGUCUGCUACCUCGGAACUUGUAACACUUUAACUUACUACCUUCCCUCAUGUAACAGCUAGAGUACAGUCUAGGACCAUGAGAAUAACGAAGUCUGCCACGUCUGAACCCAUCUCUUAAACUUCUUUCAAGGAAACGUCUAUUGGUGGUUCCACUGUUUCUACUCCCGUUGUGAGUCAACCCUAGAAGACAAUCACUUGGAAGUUCAAGACACACACCAAGAAAGCUUUUGCUCAGUUUUCCUAGGUGUGGAUGGUUACAACACCUAGGCAUAACACAUUGUUGAUCGGUCUGAGCAUUGGUUCCUAGAAACGUUAGUUCAAGUAACCCCCUUGAUAGUCGACCGAGUGUACGAUCACUUUCAAACGGAUAAUAGUUCCUUAGAUCUUUACGUCUGGUAUGGAACCGACACUUCUUGUUUCUUUUCGGCUGACGUCGUUUAUUCAGUAGCAGUUCAAGUGGAAGCAGAAGACUCCACCCAUCGCGAGGUCGACAUUCCUCCUGCUUCCACUUUCUACAGAGUCUCAUAUACUAAUCACGACGUUUUCUAUUGGGGGUCAAUCGACUCUUCUAGGUACGACAUAAUGAUCUUUUACCUCAACACGGUGGUGGACUAAACAAAAGUCUUCUUAGAUCCCUUGUUGGUUUUCUAGAUUAACACAUGCUGUGUAGAGACAAAGUUUGCUUUCCACUUUACUAUUUCGCCUACUUACUCGAACUUAGGUGUAGUGUACUACUUUCACUAGUACCAGGAAGCAACGGCGGAGUAGGACCUAUACUUGUGGUUUGUUUCCGACAAGUAAUAGCCGGAUUUGGACAGGUUCCUUACCCAUAAAUAGUGGGGAGUUUAAAGGUACUAUUGUCAUUAGGUAGAAAUGGAGACAUACUUAGUAGACGUGAACGGGCCCUUAUGGGUAAAGUUGAAUAUUUCGUUUACGGACAAUGUCGACGACGUCAACGUUGACGACGUCACCAACGUAGAAGUUACCAACAACGACGUCGAUUUAGAUUGUCACUAUAAUUUGACCUACACGGACAACGACGACGACGGUGACGACGACGACAACAACGAUGUAGGCGACGACAAUUUGUUAUACUUAUGUACCUAGGCCCAACAGUUAACUAAUCGAACGGAUCAAGAAGUCUCCGUUUACCUGGUCAGGUAUCUCAAGCUGGACUGACGACCCUAUUUCUGGUCGACCUUUAACUAGUACCUGUUCUUUUACGAGAGCUCGUUCCUUUACGAAACCAACUUCACGGAGUCCUUCGACUUGCCUAGAGACUGUUCAGUUAGCCGUGUCUCUCACAUUCUAGACUACAUUGAUACCUGCUACAGCGUCUCAAACUCUAGGUUACCCUUCUUUAACAAGAUCCUCUUGCACAACCCGAUCCUAGAAAACCUCUUCACAUGUCUCCCCUUACCGUACCUUGUCUUCAACGUCAGUUCUUUAAGAACGUUGUCCUAUAAAGUUCACUAUAUGACCUUCUUAAUUUUCGACUCCACGCUUAAUACUUCUCUGACGCCGUAGGUUUACAACAAGAAAAAUACCCACGACAGUGAGCAUAUGGGUUGGAAAGAUAGAACUGACUUAAAGAAGGCUCUCCAUCAAACAAGGCCAACUAGGCAGCGGGGUUGUUGGUCAACCUACUUUCUUUUGCAUAUUCCUACCGUGAACUACACCGGGCACCUUACUUAAUAAACGUGUUAACAUGGGGACAACAUCAAGUAGCUCUAAACUUCAGUGGCUUAGAUGAACAACUGUUCUUAACCCAACACUUCCGCCUUACCUACCGUGGUCUUCACGAAGCUUUACUUGGCAGCCUACUCUUUACACUACAAAAGUCGAUACCCCAAUAUAAUACCCUUGAAACAUGGAACAAUGUCGGUACCCUUCCAUACUUAGGGUACGUUCACCAACCUCGACAACCAAAAGUCCUUGCUGCGGAACUAUAAGGUCGGCUCCACCUAGGACGGUAUCGUCUCUAUUAUCUCUCUACGACCGUCUGUCUGGGUUUCUGCGCAGGUAGUAAAAGUCUCUAAUACCGACGGAAUUUUGCUCAUAACUUUUUUAACAGACGGUUGGUUGGUGCUUCUGUCGCUCAUGUCCUUUGUCUACUGAUUCUUUUUGGUCUCUAGUUGUAGUCGACUAUAUUGUAUUUGUUUUCCCCACGUAACCAAAAAGGACGACAGGUGGUCGACAGGCAGACAUUGAUAUGGUAAGAAACAUAUCGAGGUUGUUUACGAACGGUUACUACCUUUUCCACUCUAAAACCAGCAAAAUUGGAGGUUUCCGUCGACAUUUAAAAGGUCACUGCGACCGUCUUUAGACGGCUCGUAAUGACGAAGUCAGGUAGAUAACCCACCUUCUGUUAGGUUUCUUAUUUGUGUGGGUAGUUCGUUUCCUUUUUCUUCCUUUUCCUUCUUUUUAAGGUCCUGUCAAUCAGGUGUUAUCGCUACAACCCGUUACCGUAUUGCUUCAACUCUAAAGUCUCAGUCGCACAGUCUUUCUACGAUAGCUAUGCAAGUGGAACUCGUAGUUCUCCGUGGCACCGGUCCCGGAACACAUAUAGUGUGGUACCGUUUAAACAGACUUAACCGUCAAUCUAAAGGUUUCUUUUAGAGACGACAAACACGAUUUUAGUAAUAAGAAAUGUCGUCGUCACAACUAAGAAGAUAAGAAAGAAAAAAACGACAUUGUUCACAUGUUUUUACAGGGUAUCUUAUCCCACGAUUAACUAGGAAACGACGUUGUACUUGACAUACGUAAAUGGGGACUUUAAUCCACCGUUCCUUCUCAGCUUGUACAACGGUGUAAAGAGAAUAGAAGUUAUAGACGGGUAUAAAUGGAAUA
rnacentral:rRNA from 1 species